rnacentral:rRNA from 1 species
UUUACGGCUCAGUAACACGUCGGUAAUCUGCCCUAUGGUCGGGGAUAACCUCGGGAAACUGAGGAUAAUACCCGAUAGGAGAUUGGUCCUGGAAUGGUCUUUCUCUGAAACUCGAGCCGUAGGAUGAGCCGGCGGCUGAUUAGGCAGUUGGUGGGGUAAUGGCCCACCAAACCAAAGAUCAGUACGGACCAUGAAAGUGGUAGCCCGGAGAGGGACACUGAGAAACUGGUCCCAGCCCUACGGGGUGCAGCAGUUGCGAAAACUUUACAAUGCACGAAAGUGUGAUAAGGGGAUCCCAAGUGCUCAUGUUUUACAUGGGCUUUUGCCAAGGGCAGGAACCUUGGAGAAUAAGUGGUGGGUAAGACUGGUGCCAGCCGCCGCGGUAACCCCAGCGCCACAAGUGGCAACCGCGUUUAUUGGGUCUAAAGCGUCCGUAGCCUGUUUGAUAAAUCUCUUGUGAAAUCGUCGGACUCAACCUGACGGCUUGCAGGAGACACUGUCUGACUUGAGACCGGAAGGGGUAUGAAGUAUGGUGCGGGGAACGGUAAAAUGUGAUAAUCCGCGCUAGACUACCAAUGGCGAAGGCAUCAUACCAGGACGGAUCUGACGGUGAGGGACGAAAGCUAGGGGAGCGAACCGGAUUAGAUACCCGAGUAGUCCUAGCUGUAAACGCUGUGAGCAAGGUGUUGCAUAUUCCUCGGGAAUAUGCAGUGU